rnacentral:tRNA from 1 species
AAUUGUAUGGCGCAAUGGUAGCGCAUUUGUUUUUGUAACGGGAAAACCUGGGUUCGAUUCCUGGUGCAACCU